GCGGGAUGAGCUCAAAUUUGUAAUCUGGCGGCCUUUGGCCGUCCGAGUUGUAGUCUGGAGAAGCGUUUUCCGCGUCGGACCGUGUACAAGUCCCUUGGAACAGGGCGUCGUAGAGGGUGAGAAUCCCGUCUUUGACACGGACUGCCGAUGCUUUGUGAUGCGCUCUCGAAGAGUCGAGUUGUUUGGGAAUGCAGCUCAAAACGGGUGGUAAAUUCCAUCUAAAGCUAAAUACGGGCGAAAGACCGAUAGCGAACAAGUACCGUGAGGGAAAGAUGAAAAGCACUUUGGAAAGAGAGUUAAACAGUACGUGAAAUUGUUGAAAGGGAAACGCUUGAAGUCAGUCGCGUCUCCUGGGACUCAGCCUUGCUUCUGCUCGGUGUACUUCCUGGGGUUGACGGGCCAGCAUCGAUUUUGACCGUCGGAGAAAGGCCUUGGGAACGUGGCACCCUUUGGGUGUGUUAUAGCCCUCGGUCGUAUGCGACGGUUGGGAUCGAGGACCGCAGCACGCCUUUUUGGCCGGGGUUCGCCCACGUACGUGCUUAGGAUGCUGGCGUAAUGGCUUUAAGCGACCCGUCUUGAAACACGGACCAAGGAGUCUAACAUGCCUGCGAGUGUUUGGGUGGUAAACCCGGACGCGAAAUGAAAGUGAAAGGUUGGGACCUCUGUCGUGGAGGGCACCGACGCCCGGACCAGACCUUUUGUGACGGUUCCGAGGUAGAGCAUGCAUGCUGGGACCCGAAAGAUGGUGAACUAUGCUUGAGUAGGGUGAAGCCAGAGGAAACUCUGGUGGAGGCUCGUAGCGAUUCUGACGUGCAAAUCGAUCGUCGAAC
rnacentral:rRNA from 1 species